GCCUUCGUGGUGUAGUGGUCAGCACGCUCAUCCCGUAAUCGAAAGAUCCGUAGUUCGAGUCUCGGCGAGGGCA
rnacentral:tRNA from 1 species